rnacentral:rRNA from 1 species
GGCCUAUCAGCUUGUUGGUGAGGUAACUGCUCACCAAGGCAACGACAGGUAGCGGGUGUGAGAGCACUGACCGCCUCACUGGGACUGAGACACUGCCCAGACUCCUACGGGAGGCUGCAGUCGAGAAUCUUCCUCAAUGGCCGAAAGGCUGAAGGAGCGACGCCGCGUGUAUGAAGACGCUCUUCGGAGUGUAAAGUACUUUUAACUGGGAUGAAUCAAUGACAGUACCAGUUGAAUAAGGGGCUGCCAACCUCGUGCCAGCAGCAGCGGUAAUACGAGGGCCCCGAGCGUUAUCCAGAUUUAUUGGGCGUAAAGGGUCCGUAGGCGGUUUAUCGCAUCUCCUGUUAAAUCUCUUGGCUUAACCAAGAGGCUGCAGGAGAGAUGGAUAAACUAGAGGCCGGGAGAGGUAAGCGGAACUGCUGGUGUAGGGGUUAAAUCCGUUAAUAUCAGCAAGAACACCAAAUGCGAAGGCAGCUUACUAGAACGGUCCUGACGCUAAGGGACGAAAGCGUGGGGAGCGAAGAGGAUUAGAUACCCUCGUAGUCCACGCCGUAAACGAUGGAUGCUAAGUAUUGGGAGUUGUCGACCCUCUCAGUGCUGUUUACCUAAGUUAACACGUUAAGCACCCCGCCUGGGGAGUACG